GAUUCAUUUCUAUUAGACAUUCCCAAUCUAAUGGAGAAGUCGAGGUCACCAACUGAACUAUCCUUCAAGGAUUGAAAAAGUGGUUAAAUCAAGGCAAAAGAUUUUGGGCAGAUGAGCUAUACAGUGUGCUACGAGCGUAUCGGACAACACCUUGAACACCAAUUGGUGAAAUAUCCUUCAAGCUAGCCUUUGGUAUAGAAGCUGUUAUCCUAGUUGAGAUCGAUUUACCAUCACU
rnacentral:lncRNA from 1 species